rnacentral:lncRNA from 1 species
AGAUUAUUUUUUAGAAAUGAGCAGCCAAGAUACAGAAGGCGACGAAGAAGUUUCUGCAUUUUUUCGAAAUGUUCAAGAGAUCAGAGCCGAAGAGGUCUUGCCAACGGAAAUAAUGGACAAGCUAAGUGAG